rnacentral:rRNA from 1 species
CAGUCGCCACGGGAAUACGUAGGUGGCAAGCGUUGUCCGGAAUUAUUGGGCGUAAAGGGCUCGCAGGCGGUUUCUUAAGUCUGAUGUGAAAGCCCCCGGCUCAACCGGGGAGGGUCAUUGGAAACUGGGAAACUUGAGUGCAGAAGAGGAGAGUGGAAUUCCACGUGUAGCGGUGAAAUGCGUAGAGAUGUGGAGGAACACCAGUGGCGAAGGCGACUCUCUGGUCUGUAACUGACGCUGAGGAGCGAAAGCGUGGGGAGCGAACAGGAUUAGAUACCCCCGUAGUCCCUGUCUCUUAUAA